rnacentral:misc_RNA from 1 species
CAGAGUUAUCCAACUCCCAAACCCAUGUGAACUUAUCUCUUUGUCGCCUCGGCGCAAGCUACCCGGACCUCGCGUACAGGGACGGCCCGCCGGAGGACAACCUAAACUCUGUUAUCUUAGUGGACUUAUCUGAGUGUACUAUAAUAAGUCA